CAGCAGUCGCCGCGGGAAUACGUAGGGUGCAAGCGUUAAUCGGAAUUACUGGGCGUAAAGCGUGCGCAGGCGGUUAUAUAAGACAGAUGUGAAAUCCCCGGGCUCAACCUGGGAACUGCAUUUGUGACUGUAUAGCUAGAGUACGGCAGAGGGGGAUGGAAUUCCGCGUGUAGCAGUGAAAUGCGUAGAUAUGCGGAGGAACACCGAUGGCGAAGGCAAUCCCCUGGGCCUGUACUGACGCUCAUGCACGAAAGCGUGGGGAGCAAACAGGAUUAGAUACCCCCGUAGUCCCUGUCUCUUAUAC
rnacentral:rRNA from 1 species